CCCGCGCUCGCGACGGCGCGCGAGGGCGGGGAGAAGGGGCGGGGCCUGAAGCCCCGCGGCCGGCGCGAGGCUGGGCGGUUUGGGCGGGCGGCGAGGCGCGAGGGCGGCGGUGAAACGCUGAGGGAAGAAGCGUGGAGGCGGAGGCGGAGGCGUUGCGCCGGGUUGUGCCGCUAUCGGUGGCGACGGGUGAAGAAAAUAAGCGCCGGCAGGGCCGGUGUCGCCUCUGGGGAGGCGGCCUCCUGUCAGGCCUGGCCCGUCUCUGUUGCCCGGCCUGCAGGCCUGCAAGGGUAUGGGGCGAGGGGACGCGCCGCCGAGAGCGGGACAGGGCGACCCACAGGAGCCGGGAAGGCUUGAGAGAGGCUCGGUUGAGGAGGGCAGGAGGAGCAGAGUAGCGUUGCUGGGGAUGGGUGUGGGUGUGUUCGUUUUAUUUUUUUGUGCUUUGGGGGAUUUUUUUGCCUGUUCUUAAUGUCAUUGAUUAACAAGCGGUUGCCUGCUACUGGUAUUUUCGCAUGGUGGCAAUCUAAGAGAAACACCAACAGACAGGCAGGCGUGACUCGGAGAACGUCAGAAGAGGAAGGGGAUUUUACAGGCAGGUCUAGAACCUCAAAGACUGGGCACUUCACAAACCAUUUCCAGCUGCCAGCACGUUGGAGAACACCUACAGAAGCAGGAAGUAGAGGAGGUUAAUUAUGCUUCACCUGUGCGAAAUGGCUGGUGAGGUAAUGCAGGUGUGACAUGCACAAAGGCUUGUAAGAAGCUAAACAUUUCUCGCCUAUAGUCACCAAAAUAUGCUGUUGCACGAGACUGCCCCUUGAUGUCUAGUAGCAUCUGUGGCUGGAGAAAAUGCAAUUAUCUAAAAAUACUUUAUCAAAAGGAGCUGUAAACUAUACAAGGGUAGAAAUGCCUGGGAUGGACACCAAAACAUGCUGAAUCAUGCCCAAGGGUCAAUUACCCCAGCACAGCUACGCUAUCUACUGCUAGAUCUAAGUUUGCUUUCUAAUAUCUAGAGGUUGUUGUAAACCAUAAAGCUUAGUAUUUUAGAGUUUAUAAAAACUGCAGUGUUUGGCUAACAUAAACUUUGGGGGAUGUAUUUGUUAUGUUCAUAAGUGUAUGUAUGUAUGUCUUAGCUCUUUAAUUUUUAAUUUCAAUAAUUUCUUUGCCAUAGCUACUUUAUGAGUCGUGGCUCGCUUAGCAUUCGUGCAAAAAUAUUUCAUGUCACUCAUUUUGAGAAUGCCCCCAUCAACUUCCUGUUUCUUGUACAAUAAGGCAGGAGAGAAUGUGUUCCUGUGCUUAAUUCUCGACAUCAUUCCCUGCUCUGAUUGCUUUUAUCCUGUCAUUUUACUGGAUCAUUUAUCACCUUCCUAGGAUAAAUAAUCCAAAUCUAUCAAAAAGUUGUUUUUUUAAAAAGCCUUUUCCCCUAAACAUGCCAGCAGACAGACUCGUCCACGUGGCUUUUUGUGAGAGGGAGCCCACAGAUAUUUACAUAAAUGCCCAGUUUCUGCUUUUUCAGUUGUCAUACAUGAAUUGGGACUUGUCAGAUUUGGAAGCGUGACCAUUUCAGCCAAAGAAAAUGCAACCUGUUUUGGAUGCUGUGGAUGCCCCAUCCCUGGAGAUGUUCACAGCCAGGCUGGAUGGGGCUUUGAGCAGCCUGGUCUAGUGGGAGGUGUCCCUGCCCAUGGCAGAGGAUUGGAACUAGAUGAUCUUGAAGGUCCUUUCCAACCCAAACCAUUCUGUGAUUCUAACCCAAGUAUUCCAGCAGCUAAGGGUGUUUGUUUGGCCUCCCGUUGGACAUACCAACAGGGUGUGAACAUGUUGGAUGUGAUUUUUAAUGCGAGUGCAGGUGAUCAGUUCCCUCUGUUUCUCCGGGAGCCAGCUCCUCCAGGCAGAUGCGCCUCAUGGGCCAGAGCCAGAGGAGAAGGGAGAGCAGCCCCUGACUGACACCCUCCAGGCAGCAUCAAUGAGAAAACUCUCCUGAUUGCCCAAGCCCAUCUUCUUCUCCCAAUGGAGCGUCCUGCGUGGCCUCGGCGCUGCUGGGGUUCAUUUAACUCCUGGAUCCUGUGUUGGCUGCUCUCCGUGUGUUCAUGAGGAGCGAGAAUCAAAAUGCUGAGAAAGACUGAGAGGAUAUCAUCUGACCUCCUCUCCCCUCCACGGCUGGACCAGCUACCCCAUGAGCGCUCCUGACGGGCACUUGCUUAAACUCUUCUCAAAACCUCCUGGACUGAUGCGCUAACAGCCCGCAAGACUUUCUACUUGUCUCUUCAGGCAAGUCAUACCUUUAAAAUAACCUUGUCAGGUGACUGAAAUCCCUCAACAUGGAAUAUGUUGCUUAGCUACCUCCAAGCUGAAGGAGUGCCAGGGAUCCCGCUCCAGUGCGCACGUUCCUCAGGACGCCAGAUGAAUUAUGGAUGAGUCAGCCAGAAUUUUUC